GGAAAGUUAGCUGAGGACCAACUAACUGGUAUUCCCGCCCAUAAACAUCAUCAAUGUAUAAGGGACUAACUGACAGAAAACGCGCGUGCAACGGUUCGUGUAGAAACUGCUGAAAUGACUGAACAGUUUAAAGACAAAAAACUAUAAGAAACAUAGAAUUACUUCAGAAAAGCAUAUAUUCCAGUGAAUAAAUACAUAUGUCAAACAUAUAAUCAAACUAGAAGGUAUGUUUAGAAAACAGUAGCAUAAGUGAAUAUAUAUGAUACUUAUCUCUACUGGAGCAGCAAAGAAAGAGGGAGAAUAUUG